UUUCCACAACAAUGUUAGUGAGUAAAUCUACUGAAAUGGCCACCAUAACAGUGGAGUGUGAUGUGUAAGAUGCGAACGCAGAGGUUAAGUCACGUAUGUCGUGGUUGUAAAAAAGCAAUGAUUACCUGUCCUUUUUUGCCAAGCACAAACCAGUACAGAAGGCGUCAAUAAAUUGUUGGGGAGGCUUAUGUAUUUUUUCCCAAUCAUUCUGGAGGGUCAUAGAAAAAUUAUUGCUGGGGAAGG